ACUCCUACGGGAGGCAGCAGUGGGGAAUAUUGCACAAUGGGCGCAAGCCUGAUGCAGCCAUGCCGCGUGUGUGAAGAAGGCCUUCGGGUUGUAAAGCACUUUCAGUUGUGAGGAAGGUGGUGUCGUUAAUAGCGGCAUCAUUUGACGUUAGCAACAGAAGAAGCACCGGCUAACUCCGUGCCAGCAGCCGCGGUAAUACGGAGGGUGCGAGCGUUAAUCGGAAUUACUGGGCGUAAAAGCGCAUGCAGGUGGUUUGUUAAGUCAGAUGUGAAAGCCCGGGGCUCAACCUCGGAACUGCAUUUGAAACUGGCAGACUAGAGUACUGUAGAGGGGGGUAGAAUUUCAGGUGUAGCGGUGAAAAUGCGUAGAGAUCUGAAGGAAUACCGGUGGCGAAAGGCGGCCCCCUGGACAGAUACUGACACUCAGAUGCG
rnacentral:rRNA from 1 species